CACGCGGGCUGGGAUAUUGGUGCACGCGAAAACCUACCAGGCUGACAUCCCCCGGCCCCACUGAGACAUGCUUCCCUUCGGGCUGUGGACAGGUGGUGCAUGGUGUCGUCAGCUCGUGUCGUGAGAUGUUGGGUUAAGUCCCGCAACGAGCGCAACCCUCGUUCUAUGUUGCCAGCACGUGAUGCCCCGGACUCAUAGGAGACUGCCGGGGUCAACUCGGAGGAAGGUGGGGAUGACGUCAAAUCAUCAUGCCCCUUAUGUCUUGGGCUUCACGCAUGCUACAAUGGCCGGUACAAAGGGUUGCGAUACUGUGAGGUGGAGCUAAUCCCAAAAAGCCGGUCUCAGUUCGGAUUGAGGUCUGCAACUAGACCUCAUGAAGUCGGACCCCCCACAAUCGCAGACU
rnacentral:rRNA from 1 species